UCUCGAUAGCGUAAAAGUUAACUCAAAUUGGUAUGGAGUUAAAACGUUUGCCUACCUUUGCCGCUAGGGGCGCUGUUCCAACUGCAUACCAAUUUUAGCUAACUUGCUCGAAUUCGA
rnacentral:pre_miRNA from 9 species